CUCUAUGGUUUCGGCGGCUGAGCUGUCCCCACAGCUUCUCUACAGACUCCAAAAGGCCCUUUUCAGGGCCCCCAAACUGUUACAGAAAGAGCUGUUAACACUUCCUACAUAACGGUCUAGCUCUGCCACCGAGGCUGGAGUGCAGUGGCACGAUCUCGCCUCCGCCUCCGGGUUCAAGCGAUUCACCUGCCUCAGCUUCCCGAGUAGCUGAGAUUAAAGGCCUGCGCCACCACGCCCGGCUAAUUUUUGUAUUUUUUUUUUUUUUUUUUUUUUUUUGGUAGAUACGGGUUUCACCAUGUUGGCCAGGCUGGUCUUGAACUCCUGGCCUCAAGUGAUUCACCCGCCUCCGCCUCCCAAAGUGCUGGCAUUUCAGGCGUGAGCCACCACGCUUGGUCUUGCUCUAGCUAUUCUAAACAUGGAGAAGUCAUUUAGCUUCCUUGGUGCGGUGGGCUGAAGUCACUCUAAGGGAGUUUCCCAGCCCCAGGGGUUAAAGAACUGGAGUCAAGAUUUGAACCCAGCUGGCGAAGGAUUCCGCACCGCUUGAUCUUGACAUUUGCCUCCUCUUCUGCCAGGAAGGCUCCCCUGU
rnacentral:sRNA from 1 species